UGGAACUUAGGUUUUGAGUGACACGUGGGA
rnacentral:piRNA from 1 species